UCGCCGCCUCUUCCCAGCCCUACCCGGCGCCACCUCCAUUGUUCCCAGUCGCUCUCAGAACUUCCCCCAAGGCCCAGCAAGCCGUCCACUGCACACGCGUGGACCUCGGGUUCCUUUGUGCGGAGCCUCCACCGAGGGCGGUGGGCCUCAGGUCUGCCCAGGAGGCAGGCAGCUCUCGGUCGGGCCGAAGCCAGACCUGGGUGCCGGGGCCACGGACCAGGGGCUGACAGGUACUCGGGGAGACUGGCGCCAAGGCGUCCCUGGCUUUCAUGCAGAGGCCUGGUGGGUCCCAGAUACCGGGGCCCAGAGAGGCUUAGGCUGUGGGCAGAGGCGGGAGGGGCUCCUACCCUACUCCUCCAGGCCCGGAACCUGUUGGGGCAGGUUGGUGCGGGAGGUGGAGGAGCUGGAGGCAGGCACCCUGGGCCGAGAGCCUCCCUCGGGGCCCUCACCAGCGACCUGGGGAGGACGGUGUGAUGGUGGCGACAGCCGGUUGGCCACAGAGUCCAGUGGGGCCAUGACUCGGGGAAGGGUGGCCCUUCCUCUCUGAGGAGAAGGUGGGCCUCGGGGGUCGGGAGAGCAGGGUUGGGGGGGCCUGGAGCCACCCCACAGCCCAGGGCGGUCAGCCUACACAGGCCAGGUCCAGGGGACCAGUACCGGGUGGUGGGGGUCUUCCCUCCCAACCAGAGGGCCACGAGACCUUCUGGAAAGCCCUUUGCUGAGUCGGCCACUGAAGUGCUGGUUCUGAGCUGUCUUUUCACCCAGAGCUGGUGCCAAGGAGUCCUGAGACGCCGGCAGCUCUAAGCCGUUUCUGGGUUUCUGGGCUUUGCUCCUGGGUAGAGCUCAGUUUUGCCAGAGGCCACACUGGGCUGGAGCCGGUCUGGCCCGGAUUCGCUGCUAUUUCCUACCCACCCCUGUCGGAGGUGCCAGUAGAGCCGGAACCACCUCAGAGGAGGUGCAGGCCGGCUUGCCAGUGUCGCGCUAUGGGGUCCAAAGUCUGUCCUAAAGAUUCUCUACCUAAACUCAAAGUAGCACCCUCGGUUGCACCCCCACAAACACCCUGUCCAGAAGUGAGGCCACAGUGCCUCGGCCCCACACACUGGCCGUGAGCAAGCUGGCCUGAGAGCCUCCUUCACAGCCCAGGCAUUGGCCUUCGUGGGAAGUCUUGAAGUUUAGGAAAUGAAACGUUGACGUGACAGAGGUUAACCAUCUCUGAGGCAUAGUAUAGAGUUCGCUGUUCCUGACGAAUGAAACUUCUAGGGCAGAAGCACAGGCUGUUUAAUCCAACGGGAGAACUUUAGGCCCUUUUAGGCUGAACAUCUGUAAAAAUAGGUCGGGUUGGUUUCGUUUUCUUUUUUUCCUAGUAACUCAGAUGAAAUGCUUCAAAGUUGGAGCCACUGGCAGCGGAUUGAAUUAGGCAAAAUAAGUUUUGUAUUCAUGAAAAUGGAUGCAGUCUGCUGUGCAUUUUCAGGCAUGUUGGUCAUCUGCAAAUACCUUACUUGCAAAAUCUGGUGGAUUUAGAAGUAGGUAAAAGAGCCCACAGAAGCUGCUGGCCUCUUGAGGAGCCUGGUCUGUCCUCUGGUGUGGGGAGGGCACCCCAAAGGACUUGGGGGGAUGGCGGCCAGCUUCGGGCCACCCCCGCCCCAGCCUCCCUGCCCAGCUGGCUGAUCCGGCCACGCAGAGGGGUUGGGUUUCUGUGCUUUGUUCUCUGCGCGGCCUCACCAUUGAUUAAGGCCCGUCAGGCAGGUUAACCAGCCUGCUGGUUUUUCACGCUGGGAUCGUGUUCCCCACCCCACCCUGUCCUGUGCAGGUGGGACCCGCCAGACUGGGCAGGCUGGGUGCCCUCCAGGUGGGCUAUUUGCUCUGCAAACAGGAGAUGCUCUGAUUCCUAGAUGUCCUCAGCUGAGCCGCAUCGGAAUGGUGACCCCACACCCAGGGACCGCACGCUGGCUUCAUUCCUACCAACUACUGGCCAAGAAAGCAUCAUUGGGGGGCACUUGGAAGCAGGGAACAUUUAUUUUCACUUUUCAUGUCAGCCAGUAAGACUCACCGGCCUGCACCAAGCCAGGUGGGCAGCAAUCCAGGCCCUCGGCCCAUAUGAGAGCCACAGUGAGGCCCAGGCCAUGGGCAUCAGUCUUUCCUUGUGGAAUUCAGGUUCUGAGUUUAGGAGGAGAGUGAGAUUCUGUCCUGGGGCUCAGAAGAGAGCACUCUGCUGCCCACCAGCCCCCCAUCUCUGCCUCCUAGUGAAAAUGUAACAAUCAAUGUGCUGGUAGGGAGCAGACAACGGGAGUAGCUCAUCCAUCCUCUCGUAGGUGGGCUGGCCAGGGCCUGUGGGGUCUCCCAGGCCCUCAUUGGUCCCCUAGCAGGGUUGGCUGUGAGCAGCCAAGGGCACUGGAGGUCAGGCAGCGGAGGCACCUGGAACAAGUGAUGGCUGCAAGGAGGGAUGCUCGGCCCAGUUCCAGCCCCCAAGGCCUGGCCACUGGGAUUGGAGCUGAAAUUUAACUCAGCUCUGAAGGUGAAGUCUAAAUGGCUUCACUUAGCUCAGAAAAAAGUGAACUGACUUUACAGGUCUGAGGGAUGGACAUUGAAAGGCAAGGUUGGGGCCAGAAGGUUGAAGGCCUAGAUCCUGGCCAAGGGCACCACUCUCUGAGCCUGGACACGGUCACCUGGAGGGUCCAGGCACCUGUGAAGCCCCCUCCCUGUGUGUGCCCCCCAAAGGCAAAAGAAAGGCAAACUGUUAGUAGCUCGGUUGUGUCCAGCUCUUUGUGACCCUAUGGACUGUAGCCCACCAGGCUCCUCUGUCCAUGGGAUUCUCCAGGCAAGAAUAUUGCAGUGAGUAGCCAUUCCUUUCUCCAGGGGGUCUUCCUGACCCAGGGAUCAAAUUGGGUCUUCUGCAUUGCAGGCGGAUUCUUCACUGUCUGAGCCACCAGGAAAGCCCCAUGUCCCUCAAGGCCAGGCGUAAGUCUGGUCAGGCCCUCUGAGAAAUGUCAGCCCUUCUGGAGCAUGGAGCCAGAGAACCAGGUGAACCCAGCUGAGGCCAGGGACCAGGUGGAUGCAGUCUUUGUUGUGGUCAGCCCAGGGUGGGGGGGAUCAGCACAGAGCUCACGCCCUCUCCCUGCAAACUCUGGGUAGAAGUUGCCAGAAAACUUCAGAAGCUGUUCUGGUCAGCUCUCCAGGCCAGUGUGUCGCCUGUGUGGUGACAGGAGAGAGGACAGGACCCUUUGGAGUCUCAGAGCAGUGUGCUGGGGGUCUCUCAGCUCCCUGCAGGGGUCCCACGUGCAGACCCUGAGCAGGGUGGGGCCCCAGAGCUGCCCACUUCCUCGACCCCCACCCUGAACAGACAUCUGGGGUGCCUUCAAGAUUGGCUCAGUCCCCGCAGGUACCUGGGGGUUGUUGCCCUGUAUUCUGUGUUUGGGGGCUACUGUUCCACGUGCUCUGGGCACACAAGCCACAGUGACUGCCAGGCAGUUUGGACAGGCUGCCCCUCCUGCACCCCUCCUGCAAGCCUGGCACCACCUCAUCCUGGACCUCAGAGCCAGCAGUGGCCAGAACCCCAGGGCCAUGCCACAGUAGGGUGCUGGUGACAGGCUGCUCAGUGAGUGGAGGGACCCCAGGCCCCGGAAACAUCUGCUCUGCUCGGUGAUGGGGCCUGAGGAGGGCCAGGUCUUGGGAGCCACCCUCCAUCCUGGCCCCAAUCUUCAUCUGCGCUCUUGACAAAGGCAGGGGGAGGGGCAUGGGAGAUUGUGUUUGGGAGCCUCCGACAUAUGCUCAUCCAGGACCCCCAGGGGCUGGACCUUUCCCUGGGAUCACCUGGAAGGAGGGUCCUGCCCUGCUCCUGCCUCCUGAACUCCCACUGCCUGUUGGCAGGACACCCUGACGCCCUAAGCUGCCCACCCCAUGCCCAGAGCUGGUGGUCCCACUUGGCCAGCCAGGGCUGACUGGGCAGGGAGAUCACCCUGUGGUCCUGGCCUCUGGGCACUUCCAGGCACUGCAGGCCCGCCUCCCCUGUGUGGGGCCCCCACAGAUGGGACCACCUGGCGCUCUGGCCCCAGGGUACACACUUGCUCCAGCCCCGGCCAUCCUGGCCCCUCCCCACUUCAGUGCAUUAAGAAACCCUGGUUGUACCUCAGGCUGCUGGGUGCCCUUUCAUCGAGUCUCCUCUUGAUCCCAGCUGGGCGGCCCCAAGACCCAAUCCGGGGUGGCCAUCGCCAUCUUACUGGGCAGCAUUGGAUGGUGUCUGGUCUCUAAUACUGCCUGGUAAUGAUGACGCUGGGGCCCUGCUCGCAGCGACGGGGCCGCCCUCCCGCAGCUUGGCCCGCCACUGCCACAGCCCCUGACACCCACAGUCAGCUGGCCCACGCAGUCCUGCCCAGUGGCUUCCAGAUGCAGCUCCAAGGCAGAAAGUUGACCUGGGCAGGCCCCUCCCCCAGGUCCAGACGUGUCUGCACCCCUUCUGGGUCCCUAGAAUCAAAGGCUUCCUGCAGCUGCACCGGGCCCGCCCCCAGUGAUCAGCAGUGGGACAGGCGGGUGUCCGGGCCCUGCCCAUGGCACCCAAGCAGGUGCUGCUGCCACCACACCUGCAGGUGUGGGUGGGACAGAGCACAACAAAGGCUUUGGGGGGUGAAGGCCCAGCUGAGCCCAGCUGGGUGGGCCACCCUGCAGACCAGCAACACCUCCAGCCUUGGCCCCGGGUCUUGGGAAAGUGAGGGACAGCAGGCAGGCCUCCCCACCUCCACUGGGCCCUGCCUGCAGGGGGUGAAGCACCCACAUCCGUCCCACGUCCUCGGGCCGAGGUACACCGGGGCCUCUGUGGACAUCUUACCGGACAGUGCUGGAUUUCUCGGCUCGACUCUAACACUGUCUGGUAACGAUGUUCAAAGGUGACCCACCACCUGCCGGGAAGUGGCCCGAGGACACACGGUCCUGAGCUCCUGGACCCCAGAGCUGGGCUGAGGCCUGGUCAACCAGGGGCAGGCAAACAGCCUGUCUCAACUCUGCAGGCCGGCCCAACCAGGGAGACUGCUGCCAAGUCCAGGUGCAGGGCCGGUUCUGCCACAUUGGGGCCUUCGGGGCUCCCCAACAAACCCAGGACACUUGGACCUGGGAAGGGCCACCAGCCCCCAGGUGGCCCUGGGGAGUCCUGGCCUCUCGCCACACAUCUGUGGCUGAGCCUAGGUUCUUUUCACAGAGCGGCCAGCAGGCACGUCAGGCCACACAAGGAAAUGGCCUUCUGGAUGGUACAGAGCUGGCAGCCCUCACCUUCCCUUCCCAGCCUGGCCCAUCUACCACACAGAGUCAGAUGUCCACUAUAGGUGUCCAGGGCCCCCAACACAUCGCCACUAUCCAGGCCCUGCCCUCAGAGGUCCCAGGCAGCUGGGGCUGUGGGCGGUGGCCUCUUGCUCCACAAAGGAGGCCACACUCCCUCAGGCCCCUGGGGCCGCAGGGAGCACAGGAUGCAUCCGGGUGCCCAGUGCAGUGGACAUUCCGUGCUGCUCUCCCCCCCAACCCCCGCAGCCUCGUAGGCGAGACUGGGAACAUUGUCCCAAAUUGCUGAGGCCAGGACGGCCCUUUAUUUUAUCGUUCUGAUCUGAAGCCAGGACACCCACCCCAGACCCACUCAGCACAGGCACUGUGGCAGCCCUUCUGCUCUGGACCCCAGUGGCUCUCGCAGGGGAGGAGGGUCUGCCCAGCCCUGCUGUUAUUCAUUAACUGGCUGAGAGCCGUUCAGGAAGCCGCAGGGUGCCACAGCCACCUUGACCUGGGAUCCAGAGCAGGGAAGCCAGACUGCUCCCCAGCUGUGCUCUCAAACACAUGUGCCUGCAGGGCCACUCUGAAGACUUCAGGAAAGCUCUCCUCGGGGUGAUCCUGGGCUGGGCCACCGGGCCUCCUGGGGCCUCUCCACUGACUAGGAGGCUCCAGGGGUCCUGCCGUCCAGCUGAAUCCUCCUGCUUUCUCAAGGUGCCGCAGGGCCGGUAGUGGGCGAAGCCCAGCCCCUCCCAGAAGGGCCACCGGACGAGACUGCCUGCACCAAAGCCUGCCGAUGAGCGUCUUACCAGACACGGUUAGAUCUGGUCCUUCUGUCUAAUACUGUCUGGUAAUGCCGUCCAUCCCCGGCCUCAUCACCGCCACAGGAGGUCCCUCACCAGUGCUGGGUGGAGGGGGGGCCAGGAGCCAUGGGUCCCAGCAGUGCUACACUUCCGCCCAGGCCCAGGCCACACCUGACGCCCCAGCCCUGGGACCCCCAGAGGGCUUUCUGUCACAGACACAAUGGACUGUUGGUGUAAUAAAGCAUGGGGGCUCCUGUUCAGCUCAGGUGCACUGGCGAUAGGCUCAUACUGCUGGCGCUGCCACUGGGCCAUGAGAGCCCUGGGCUGCAGCAGCCACAUCCCUGGAGCCCCCCAGGAGCCUCUCCAGGGAGGCACCCUAAUCGCUAUGCCAGGCAGUGGUGGGGGAUGAGGAGUACAGGAUAGAAGCAACUCCAACUCCCUGUGCCCCUAGAGACACCCCAGGCUGCCCUCCCCAACCCCAGGUGGCACCAGGAUCCUGAGGGUGCUGGCCUUCCUCCCCUGGGUCCCCAUAGGCCUGACUUGGCUCUUGGGUGGUCGAAGGCCUCUCCAGGUACCAGGCCAUCACACCCCAUACCCAGGUACCGCUGGAAGGCCUGGUGGUCCUGCCCCCUCCCCUCUGCUCCACAUCCAGACAUCAUCUGUCUACAGUGUUUGCCAGUCCCACUCGCAGCCUCAUGGCUGUGCCCCCAGAGCCUCUUCCUUCCCUGAGAAUUCUAAGCAGGCCCUAGGGUCCCAGUCCAUGGCUGAUGCCUCUGACCCAGGCUCUGCGGCCAGAGUCAGGGUAGAAGGGCCCUUCUCUCUGUCCCUCCCUCCCUCCUCAGUGACCACUCUUUCCUGAGUGCCCUCGGAAAGCCAGUGCAGCUCCAGACACACUGGGGAUAGGGGAGGAGUGUCCCUGAGAAGGAGCCACAGACAGCGAGAAGGCUCUGGGCAGGGCAUGUGGUCUGCAGGGCUGCUGGUGCUGCAGCAGCCGGAGAAGUAGAGGGGC
ensembl:lncRNA